rnacentral:rRNA from 1 species
UACGUAGGGUGCAAGCGUUAAUCGGAAUUACUGGGCGUAAAGCGUGCGCAGGCGGUGAUGUAAGACAGGUGUGAAAUCCCCGGGCUUAACCUGGGAACGGCAUUUGUGACUGCAUAGCUAGAGUACGGUAGAGGGGGAUGGAAUUCCGCGUGUAGCAGUGAAAUGCGUAGAUAUGCGGAGGAACACCGAUGGCGAAGGCAAUCCCCUGGACCUGUACUGACGCUCAUGCACGAAAGCGUGGGGAGCAAACAGG